rnacentral:rRNA from 1 species
AGCGAACGCUGGCGGCAUGCUUAACACAUGCGAGUCGCACGGGCAGCAAUGUCAGUGGCGGACGGGUGAGUAACGCGUAGGAACGUGUCCUGAGGUGGGGGACAACCCCGGGAAACUGGGGCUAAUACCGCAUAUGGGCUGAGGCCCAAAGCCGAGAGGCGCCUUUGGAGCGGCCUGCGUCCGAUUAGGUAGUUGGUGGGGUAAAGGCCUACCAAGCCUGCGAUCGGUAGCUGGUCUGAGAGGACGACCAGCCACACUGGGACUGAGACACGGCCCAGACUCCUACGGGAGGAAGCAGUGGGGAAUAUUAGACAAUGGGCGAAAGCCUGAUCCAGCAAUGACGCGUGGGUGAAGAAGGUCUUCGGAUCGUAAAGCCCUUUCGACGGGGACGAUGAUGACGGUACCCGUAGAAGAAGCCCCGGCUAACUUCGUG